rfam:Triticum aestivum genome assembly, contig: Triticum_aestivum_CS42_TGACv1_scaffold_377241_5AL
CAAAUACUCCCUCCAUUCAGAAAUACUUGUCCUAGAAAUAGAUAAAAUUGAUGUAUCUAUAACUAAAACAAGUCUAGAUACAACUAUUUUUAGAAUAAGUAUUUUCGGACGGAGGGAAUAUCUU